AAAUAAGAUUAUUUCUGCAACACUAAAUGAACUCUUACAUUAGGUCAUUUCACCGCAAUACUGUGUUAAAGAAUGUUCAUAGUUCAAUACAAAAAAAAUGAAUUAGAUAAUGCCGAUCGCAUAACGAAGGGCGGUUAAGGACACGCGGGAGAAAUAAAAACGUAGUGGUUAUGUACUCAAGGUAAAAUCCUUCGAUCACUAAUAAAAACUAGAUACACAAUCAACUACAAUAAACGUCCUCACCAAAUGAGCACCCAUUUCAACAUUUGGGUACGCUUUUAAUGUAGUACCAUUUGGACGCGCCGACAAUAAACAUGUCUCGGUGCUCGUUCAAAAAUCAUUCGUAUAGGACGCUGAAAAAAGAUGGUGUGUCAUAUUUUCGCUUUCCUUGAGAUCCUGUGCGGUGUGGAAAAUGGGUAUUUAUUGUAGCAUGUCAAAGAUCCGAAGAAUUUUUUAAGCCGACCCAAGGAAGUGUUGUAUGUUCGAAGCAUUUUUUAGGAAGUGAUAAAUAUUUGACUUCAAAAGGCAUCAAAAGGCUACAUAAAACUGCUGUACCACAAACAAUAAAUAUUGAAACAAGAGUUACUGAAAUUCUUAAGAGCCCAACUUCAUCAUUAAGCAUUGGUUCGAUUCUGGAUACACCAAAAAAAAUUGUCAUGAAAAAAGAACUUAUUGCUUGCAAAAGGCGUAUAAGAGUAAAAAACAAUAAAUUAUGUAAUUUACGAAAACAAAAUGUCAGACUAAAGAAAAAAUAUAAUAAUUUGAAGGAGGUAUGUCUUUAUUAAAUAAACGCCAAACAGUAGAUCAGUCAUUACUGCAUGAUCUAUCUAAACAAGUAAAAGUAACAGACACAUUUAAUGCUACGUAUUUAAAGAACGUAAUAAGCAAAAAACUGUCCUUUUCUCAGUAUCCACCAGGUGCCAGAAAAUUCGCCAUCACGCUACACUUUUAUUCACCAGAUGCGUAUAAGAACAUACGAAAAAUGUUUGACACUUGCCUACCCCACUCAAAUACUUAAUGUAAAUGGUACAGAAGCAUAAAUGCAAAGCCUGGUUUUACAGAAGCUUUUGACAGACUGAAAGAAAAGACAGGAAAAGCAAAAAAAGAAAUAAUGGGGUGCUAUAAUCGCUGACGAAAUGUCAAUAAGACAACAGAAAAUAUGAACGCUAUGAAGGUUUAAUUGACAUGGGUCUUGGCAAUAUAGACGACACGAAUGAUAUUGCCACUCAAGUGUAUGUCAUAAUGUUAGUAGGGGUAAACAAGUCUUUUAAAAUACCUUUAGGGUAUUUUUAUAUCAAGCCUGACAGCUGAACUAAAGGCCAAUUUGCUUAAUAUUGCAUUAGAAAAAUGUCAUUCAGUUGGUGUAAAAGUGAUAUCAUUGACUUUCGAUGGGUGUCAAACAAAUAUUUCGUGUAUGAAAAACCUCGGGUGUAAAAUUGACGAUUGUUCAAACAUAAAAACGCACUUCAAACACCCUUCAAGCAACUAUGAAGUCGUAGUGUUUUUAGAUGCAUGUCACAUGGUAAAACUAAUGCGCAACACAUUUGAGUCAAAAAAAAAAUAAUCAAGGAUGGAAAUGACAAAAAAAUAAAAUGGGAAUAUAUUCGUCGUCUUCAUAAUUUUCAGGAAGAAAAAGGAUUACAUCUUGCCAACAAAUUAACUCACCGCCACAUAGCAUUCAGAAAUGAAAUAAUGAAGGUGAAAUUAGCUACGCAACUAUCGAGUCAGUGUGGCUAGAGCUAUCGAUUUUUGUGAAAAGCAUCUAAAUCUUGUCGAUUUUAAAGAUGCUAGUGCAACAGUAGAGUUCAUUUCAAUUUUAAAUAAUAUUUUUAAUAUAUUAAAUACCAGGAAUCUAAAUUAGCACGGAUACAAAAAACCACUUAGUGCUAGUAACGCUGGACAAAUAUUGCCAUAUAUAGUAAAAGCUAAGGAAUAUUUAAUAUCUUUAAGUGUUGAUAUCCGACGGAAAAAAAAUGAUUAAAAGACCCAAUAUAAUAAUGACCUCGGAAAAUAUACCGUCAUGGAAAUGUCAAGCAAAUACGGGUGUGAUUGGACUUUUUGUUUGCAUUGACAUAUUUAUUCAAUAAUCUGGUUGAAUCUGGUGACCUUUAAUUUCUUCUAAGUUACAAAAUUAGCCAAAAUCAUGUACAACUAUUUUUUGGCCACUUACGCAGUCAUGGGGGUUACAAUAGUAAUCCUAAUGCAGUGCAGCUAAAGGAAGUGCAGCUUAUAAGAAAAUGCUAAUGCAUUUAGAACUGAGUAAUAAAUUUAUAGGUAAUGCUAUACCACUGAAAAUAUUCAUAAUUUUAAUUGAAAAAAAUACAAUCUCCAACCUGAAUUUAACCUCAAUAGGAUUUCGCGCAGAAAAUGAAAUAGAAAUUUUCAGUUCCAGUAAUAACUUAGAAGAUAUAAAUAUUCAAAAAAAAACUGUGACAUACUAUCGUUGAAGCUUAAUGAAUCGGAAUAUAGCUCCGAAUAUGUGGACCAAAUCGUGGGAUAUAUAGCUGGAAACGUGGUACUUAAAAAAAACUAUGAAGUGCGACGCAUGUGUAAAUAGUUUAUUAGCUCAAGAUAGGCUUAUUUUUCAUAAACUUAUAGAUGUGAAAAACCUAGGUGGACUGUUUUAUUCAUCCCUAGAUGUAUUUCUUGUUUGCAAAAAAACAGAAGUUGCAAUUAGGCAGAAUACAUGUUCUAAAACGAAUUUAGUUUCUCAAAUUUGCACCAAGGUAAUGUCGUCUUUUUUAGGAGUUGACAUUUUUUCAUCUAAGUGUCAUGAUAAUAAUAUAUUAGGACUAUUAAAAUAAAGUAUAUUAUUGAACGAUACCUUAAAGUAAGAUUCCAUUACAUAGCAAAAAAAGAAAAAAGUAAAAAGUCAUCAAAAAGACGAUUAUAUAAUAAACUUAAUUUAUUUCAAGGUAAUUAAAAAAUAUUUUGUUGCACGCAAACGCUAAGGACCGAUGGCCGUUGGUAGCAGACGAGUCCUAGAGUGGAGACCGCGAAUCGGCAAGCGCAGCGUAGGGCGCCUUCCAGCCAGGUAGACCGACGACCUUAAGAAGGUGGCGGGACAGGGAGCUUUGGCGCACCUUGGGAGAGGCCUAUGUUCAGCAGUGGACAACGAUUGGCUGUUGAUUUGUAUAAUAUAGAA